AACACCUUCCUGACAUGGACAUGUGCGUGUUCUCUUUCCGAACUUCUAAUAAUUCUAUUAAGAAAAAGGAGCGCCUACGGGGGAAUUGAAGACAAAACUUGCAAGACACACCUCUAGAGCUUCUCUGGAUACCACAGUGUUCCCGCGGGAUUCAUUCGGGCAUUUGACAGAACCAAACUUCAUGGAUCCCACCCUACCGGUUUGUUGUAGCCUCAUUUGUGGGGCACUGAUGGAGACCUAAAGCUCACUACGCCAGCCGCCCUGAGGACCGUCGACUUCCACCCACUCCAUGUGACGGUGUGACCCAUCCUAAGCCAGGCCGAUCCUCAAUUCAUACACCUGACCUGAUGACGUGACUCUGCCGUCAUCCGUCAGCAGAAUCAAAAUCGGCACUUCGUUGAACGAAUAUGGCGGGGAUUACACGUCCUCAAGCAGCUUAAUAUUUUUCAUCUCAAGAUCCAAAUGAACAAAAUAGAAACAUGGCCGAACAUCAUUCAAUAAACUGAUUUUCUUUG